CUCAAGUCGUUACCCAUGGGUCUGGGCCUCCACGUGGCUGCCACCCAGCACUCCGGGUGAGAAGGGAGGCCUCCUGUCAGGCCCACCCUCUGCGUUCCCUCCCAGCAAGGACAGCAGCGUCUCUAACCCAGAGACGCUUGUCUGGGCCGAAGGGGCGGCUGCCUCAUCCCCGGACCCCAGGCCUGGACCUGCAGGCGUCGCCACGGGAAAGGAAGGAGACCUUCUUCCAGUUCAAGGGCGACUGCUUCCCAGGACGGCUGCUGACAGAGCUCCACUUCACCAAUAAGAGACCUGCCCGGCCGCUGUAACUCCGAGUAUUCUCGGGUGAAGAUUAAGGAAAAAUAUGUACGCUGACCUCAAAAACGCGGACAAGUCACCUGACAAAGAGGCAUCGACACUUCCGGUUGUAAGAAGCGGCCAGUGCUCUAGGGAAGAGGACGCACUGGUAACCCCAGAACAGACGUCCCUCCAAACCCGAGACGCCUCCUGGGCCACAUAGGCAGAGACACGGCAGGUCGGGCCUCUACCC